AUGGGGAUAGUCCCGGAUUCGGGGACCUC
rnacentral:sRNA from 1 species